AGCUCUGCAGUGGCAGUAUCAUAGCCCCUUAUCUAAGGCACGAUCAUUGCUAAUUGAGAACUAUUCCCAAUACCUCGCCAUGAUGACUUGAAAUAUGGUCUGCAAUAGCAAUUUCUUUCUUUCUCUCUUUUUUUUUUUUUUUUUUUUGAGA
rnacentral:snRNA from 1 species